GACGAACGCUGGCGGCGUGCUUAACACAUGCAAGUCGAGCGGUAAGGCCCUUCGGGGUACGACGAGCGGCGAACGGGUGAGUAACACGUGGGUGACCUGCCUCUAGCUCUGGGAUAAGCCUGGGAAACUGGGUCUAAUACCGGAUAUGACUCCACGGCGCAUGUUGUGGGGUGGAAAGCCUUGUGUGGCUAGAGAUGGGCCCGCGGCCUAUCAGCUUGUUGGUGGGGUGANGGCCUACCAAGGCGACGACGGGUAGCCGGCCUGAGAGGGCGACCGGCCACACUGGGACUGAGACACGGCCCAGACUCCUACGGGAGGCAGCAGUGGGGAAUCUUGCGCAAUGGGCGAAAGCCUGACGCAGCGACGCCGCGUGAGGGA
rnacentral:rRNA from 1 species